rnacentral:rRNA from 1 species
UAACGGCGAGUGAAGCGGCAACAGCUCAAAUUUGAAAUCUGGCCUCUUUGGGGUCCGAGUUGUAAUUUGUAGAGGAUGUUUCGGGCACCGCUCCGGUUUAAAUUUCUUGGAACAGAAUGUCAAAGAGGGUGAGAACCCCGUCUUGGACCGGCAGUAGGGCCCAUGUGAAACUCCUUCGACGAGUCGAGUUGUUUGGGAAUGCAGCUCAAAAUGGGUGGUAAAUUUCAUCUAAAGCUAAAUAUUGGCCAGAGACCGAUAGCGCACAAGUAGAGUGAUCGAAAGAUGAAAAGCACUUUGAAAAGAGAGUUAAACAGUACGUGAAAUUGUUGAAAGGGAAGCGCUUGCAACCAGACUUGCGCGCGGCGGUUCCCCCUUCCUUUUGGUUGGGUUAUUCCGCCGUGUCCAGGCCAACAUCGGUUCUGGGGGUCGGUUAAAGGCCUGGGGAAUGUAUCUACCCUUCGGGCGUAGACUUAUAGCCCCGGGUGUCAUGCGACCUCCCGGGACCGAGGAACGCGCUUCGGCUCGGAUGUUGGCGUAAUGGUUGUCAGCGACCCGUCUUGAAACACGGACCAAGGAGUCUAACAUCUAUGCGAGUGUUUGGGUGUCAAACCCGGAACGCGGAAUGAAAGUGAACGGAGGUAGGAAGCUUCGGCUGCACUAUCGACCGAUCCUGAUGUCUUCGGAUGGAUUUGAGUAAGAGCAUAGCUGUUGGGACCCGAAAGAUGGUGAACUAUGCCUGAAUAGGGUGAAGCCAGAGGAAACUCUGGUGGAGGCUCGCAGCGGUUCUGACGUGCAAAUCGAUCGUCAAUUUGGGUAUAGGGGGCGAAAGACUAAUCGAACCAUUAAAAGUUACCGGUGGUUAAGUGUAACCGUGAAAGCGGUUGCAAGUGCCAGGUUCUGGCCCGACACUGUCAAUUGCGGG